rnacentral:rRNA from 1 species
UACGGAGGGUGCAAGCGUUGUCCGGAAUCACUGGGCGUAAAGGGCGCGUAGGCGGCUCGGUAAGUAGGGGGUGAAAUCCUGCGGCUUAACCGCAGGGCUGCCUUCUAAACUGUCGAGCUCGAGCACGGUAGAGGCAGAUGGAAUUCACGGUGUAGCGGUGGAAUGCGUAGAGAUCGGGAAGAACAUCAGUGGCGAAGGCGGUCUGCUGGGCCGUUGCUGACGCUGAGGCGCGACAGCGUGGGGAGCAAACAGG